UAUAUUUUGAAUGGCACCAUGAUUACCCAUAAAAUUUCGCUGUCGUUUGCAGCACCGAUCAAAUGCGCAGGCGCAGGGUUGCUGCCGUCUCCGAUAACUACGCAUGCGCGCAGUAUACAAAAUGUCGGGAGGAUCGGAAAGAGAAGCUGGCCACACUUGACUGGAAGGGGAAUCUGGUAGGAGUGACGAUGGAGCAGCAAUGGCUGGAGUUUCUGGGAGCAACUCGGGAGCUGAGUGAUAGACACAUCCCAAAGAAGUGGAAGCAUUGGAAAGGCAGGAGGACACAACCAUGGCUGAAAUGAGAAGCCAAAGCCAACAUAAAAUCCAAAGAGAGGGAAAACAAAAGAGCAGAAACUAUUGGGAAGCUUUUAGAAACCAAGAGAAGACAACUGAAAACAUUGUCGGAUGAGCUCACGGUGUGGAAUGAUGAUAUUGUAGCACCCAACAGACUGAGGGAUUGAGAGGAACAAAAUACCCUUGGCCUCGAUAUCUCUAGAAAACCAAGGUUCACUGUACCAGUUAUCUUUCAACUUUCAGUUUUGCAGGCACGUACAAACUCUUCAUCAUCAAAAUUUCACUUCUGAAGUGCUCCCACUCACCAACUAAUUAUGCUAAUUAUCAUAAAUUAUCAAAUUAGUAAAAUUAUAAAUUAGCAAAUUAUCAUAAUUUGCCACGAAACAGCCUGUUCCAAUCCACACUUGUCAGAUCUUUUCUGACACCUUCAAAGUUGACCUUUCUCCAAUUUAGAAUCUCAACCCAUGGUCCAGACCUCUCUUUUUCCAUAUUUACUUUCAAUCUCUUGGCAUUAUGAUAACUAAUUUCUGUCAACAGCCCCGGAUCAUUUCCUAACAGCUUAUUGCAUACUUCUACAUUGGGAAUUCUACUUCCCAAUUAAGGACACAUUUGACUAGUCUUUUUACGGAUGGGAGUCUCAGACAAUAUAUGGAAAAUUAAAAUCACUUAACAUAUCACCCUUUGUUUGUUAGCAUGGUCUGUGAUCACUGGAGAAAGAUUUGUUCCUCUGUAUCCCUCAGACUGUUGGCUGGAACCAUGUCCCAGCAAUGGCUACAAUAUCAUAAUACAUGGUCCAUACAUGCUGGUUGUAUGGUGGAAAAAAACACAACAGUGCCUCUUUCACCUCAGAGCAUUGAGAAGUUUGAAAUGGGGACCUAAAUCCUAAGAACUUUCUGCAGGGUCACAAUUAAGAGCAUUGUGACUGGCUGUGUCACUGCCUGGUAUGGGGACUGUACUUCCCUAUAUCGCAGGACUCUGCAGAGAGUGGUGCGGAGAACCCAGCGCGUCUGUAGAUGUGAACUUCUCACUAUUCAGGGCUGUAAAGAGGACCUGAAGGGUCAUUGUGGAUCCCAGUCAACCCAACCACUAACUGCUCCAGCUGCUACCAUCUGGGAAAUGGUACCGCAGCAUAAAAGCCAGGACCAACAGGCUCUGGGACAGCUUCUUCCACCAAGCCAUCAGACUGAUUAAUUCAUGCUGAUACAACUGUAUUUCUAUGUUAUGUUGACUGUCCUGUUGUACAUAAUGUUUAUUAUAAAUUACCAUAAAUUGCAUAUUGCACAUUUAGACAGACACAUAAUGUAAAUAUUUCUACUCCUCAUGUAUAUGAAGGAUAUAAGUAAUAAAGACAAUUCAAUUCAAUUCUGCACCUCCAUUAUAUGUUCUGUCAUUCUGGCUCCCACCCUGCCUGCAACUUUAGUUUAACUCCCCCACCAGCACUUGCAAGCCUUACCACUGGGACGUUAGUCCCCUUCUAGUUAUGUUCCCCUAACUAUUGAACCCCUAACACACCUUUGUCUUCCCUCUGCCAGAUAAUCCCUCCCCCAACAGUUUCUAAAGUGGCCCACCUGUUGUUGUGUGGGAUGGCCUCAAGAGUACUCUGUGAUGGCUAUUUAACCUCAUUCCACUUCCUGACUCUCACCCAGUUUCCUGUGUCCUGCAUCUCGGUGUAAAACACCUCUCUUUCUGUCAUAUUUUUCACCUUCUCCGACUCCCGGCUGAACCAGAAUUUAUCCAUUUCAAGUUCCAACUCCUCAAAGUGCAGGGUUACAAGCUGUAGCUGGAUGCACAUCUUGUAGGUGAGGGCAUCCGGGACACUGGAGGUCUCCCCACCUUCCCACCAAUGUCCCCUCCAAUUUGUAAUCACCAGUGUGCACAAAAACCUUGUGCUGUGCAAAUUUUUGC